GAUGAACGCUAGCUACAGGCUUAACACAUGCAAGUCGAGGGGCAGCAUAUUUAUAGCAAUAUAAAUGAUGGCGACCGGCGCACGGGUGAGUAACGCGUAUCCACCCUGCCGUUUACCAGGGGAUAGCCUUUCGAAAGAAAGAUUAAUACCCGACGGUAUAUAUUGAUUUCAUGGUCUUUAUAUUAAAGAAUUUCGGUAACCGAUGGUGAUGCGUGCCAUUAGGCAGUUGGCGGGGUAACGGCCCACCAAACCGACGAUGGAUAGGGGUGCUGAGAGGAAGGACCCCCACAUUUGAACUGAGACACGGUCCAAACUCCUACGGGAGGCAGCAGUGAUGAAUAUUGGUCAAUGAGCGUAGGCCUGAACUAGCCAAGUAGCGUGAAGGAUGACUGCCCUAUGGGUUGUAAACUUCUUUUAUAAGGGAAUAAAGUGGAGUAUGUAUACUCUUUUGUAUGUACCUUAUGAAUAAGGAUCGGCUAACUCCGUGCCAGCCGCCGCAGUAA
rnacentral:rRNA from 1 species